rnacentral:rRNA from 1 species
UGAGUACGAGAUGCUACGGCAUCGAAGCAGUCUAUGUCAUACUUCCAAGAAAAGCUUGCACUGUCAUAAACAAAGGAUGCCUGUACCAUAACCGACACAGGUGGGUAGGUAGAGUAUACUAAGGGGCGCGAGAUAACUCUCUCUAAGGAACUCGGCAAAAUGACUCCGUAACUUCGGGAGAAGGAGUGCCUUAUUUCUAAGGUUGCAAUAACAAGAUCCAAGCAACUGUUUACCAAAAACACAGGUCUCCGCUAAGUCGUAAGACGAUGUAUGGGGGCUGACGCCUGCCCAGUGCCAGAAGGUUAAAGAAGUUGGUUAGCAUUAGCGAAGCUGAUAACUGAAGCCCUGGUGAACGGCGGCCGUAACUAUAACGGUCCUAAGGUAGCGAAAUUCCUUGUCGGGUAAGUUCCGACCCGCACGAAAGGCGUAAUGAUUUGGAUACUGUCUCGGAGAGGGGCUCGGUGAAAUAGACUUGUCUGUGAAGAUGCGGACUACCUGCACCUGGACAGAAAGACCCUAUGAAGCUUUACUGUAACUUGAGAUUGAAAUUGGACUUUAUUUGCGCAGUAUAGGUGGGAGGCGUUGAGAAUAAUCUUGCGGGAUUGUUGGAGCCAUCAGUGAGAUACCACUCUUGUAAUGUUAGAUUUCUAACUUUGUAUCAUUAUCUGGUCAAAGAACAGUUUCAGGCGGGCAGUUUGACUGGGGCGGUCGCCUCCCAAAGGGUAACGGAGGCGCACAAAGGUUUCCUCUGAACGGGUAGAAAUCGUAUCUAGAGUGUAAAGGCAUAAGGAAGCUUGACUGUGAGACCUACAAGUCGAGCAGGGACGAAAGUCGGUCUUAGUGAUCUGACGGUGCUGAGUGGAAAGGCCGUCACUCAACGGAUAAAAGUUACUCUAGGAUAACAGGCUGAUCUCCCCCAAGAGUUCACAUCGACGGGGAGGUUUGGCACCUCGAUGUCGGCUCACCGCAUCCUGGGGCGGUAGUCCGUCCCAAGGGUUGGGCUGUUCGCCCAUGAAAGCGGUACGCGAGCUGGGUUCAGAACGUCGUGAGACAGUUCGGUCCAUAUCCGGUGUAGGCGUUAGAAUAUUGAGAGGAGCCUUCUCUAGUACGAGAGGACCGAGAAGGACAUACCUCUGGUGUACCAGUUAUCGUGCCAACGGUAAACGCUGGGUAGCUAUGUGUGGAGUGGAUAACCGCUGAAAGCAUCUAAGUGGGAAGCCCACCUCAAGAUAAGUAUUCCC